rnacentral:lncRNA from 1 species
AAGAAAUCAAGCAUGGAUGCUGAGACUAUGUCAAGCCUUCAAACUGGAAUGCCUUGUCAUUCGAAAUAUUAAAUGUCACCCUUUUCCCAUGACAAUCUAAAUUGGCAUGAUAUGUCACAAGCCAGUCCAUCCCUAUUAUAAUGCCAAAGUCGUGCAUAUCUAGAAAUAUGAGAUCUACUAGCAUUUCCCUGCUAGCUAUCUCUAUGAUACAGUCUCGACACACUAUAUAAGUCAUUAACUCUUUGUUGGCAGCGGUGGAGACUACUAGUAUGAUAUCUAGUAGUGUCUUAUCAACAUUUAGAUAUUAUGCAAAACCAAAUGAAAUAAAAGAAUGCGUAGAUCUUGGGUUAAUCAGGACUCUAGCCAAGGUACCAAAGAUAAUAAGCAUACCUUGGAUUACGUCUUGAGAAGCUUUAGCAUCUUUUUUUUGUGAUGGCAUAUACCCUCCCUUGAGUCUUUGACUUGUUCUGCUCAGUCAUGAGAGGAUAAUGCUUAAUCUGACAUUGGUUGCUACCGUACUUGAAGCAUGCCUUUGUGAGCUUAUUGUAAGGUUUGGUGCCACGAUUCCAUCCACAAUGUUGGCAAGUUUGACCUAUAUCUUGUAUUGUAGCCUUCGCAGUAGUAGCAGGGUCAAUCCUCUAUCUUUUGUUUAAUUGUGGU